CCUACGGGUGGCAGCAGUGGGGAAUAUUGCGCAAUGGGCGAAAGCCUGACGCAGCGACGCAGCGUGAGGGAUGAAGGUCUUCGGAUCGUAAACCUCUGUCAGCAGGGAAGAACGGUCACUGUGCUAAUCAGCAGUGAAUUGACGGUACCGGCAAAGGAAGCGCCGGCUAACUCCGUGCCAGCAGCCGCGGGAAUACGGAGGGUGCGAGCGUUAAUCGGAAUUAUUGGGCGUAAAGCGCUCGUAGGCGGUAUGUCAAGUCAAGGGUGAAAUCCCCGCGCUCAACGUGGGAACUGCCUUUGAAACUGGCAAACUGGAGUGUGUGAGAGGAUAGUGGAAUUCCAGGUGUAGCGGUGAAAUCCGUAGAUAUCUGGAAGAACAUCAGUGGCGAAGGCGGCUCACUGGCACAUAACUGACGCUGAGGGGCGAAAGCGUGGGUAGCAAACAGGAUUAGAUACCCUUGUAGUC
rnacentral:rRNA from 1 species